UACGAAGGGGGCUAGCGCUGUUCGGAAUUACUGGGCGUAAAGGGCGCGUAGGCGGUGCCUCAAGUCAGGCGUGAAAGCCCCGGGCUCAACCUGGGAACCGCGCUUGAGACUGGAGUACUAGAGUUCGGGAGAGGAUGGUGGAAUUCCCAGUGUAGAGGUGAAAUUCGUAGAUAUUGGGAAGAACACCGAUGGCGAAGGCAGCCAUCUGGACCGACACUGACGCUGAGGCGCGAAAGCCAGGGGAGCAAACGGG
rnacentral:rRNA from 1 species